CCCAGCAGCCAACUUCAACAACACCGCUGUCUUGCAAACGUCUCUUUGAAUAGACGUCAAAAGAAUAACACCUUUAUUGCGACGUGAAUUCGCUGUGACAGGGGUUAGGUUAGCUAAAAAUACACGUUUUCUAACUACUCGUUAACCUUCGGAGCCGCUUACUGGACGGCUGUGUUACUUUUAGGAAGAGAACAACAGAAAAAGGGGAAUUUUAAAACGAUCGCACCCCUGAACUAUGUACGUCUGUCUAAAUCAAACUGAAUAAAGUUGCCAGUGAAAUUUGGUACUUUCGCCUUAGUAAUUGCCCCAGGUCGCAGCGGCUCUUUCUAGCAGCACCAAAUAAACCGUGUCUCCGCUCGAAUUCGAACCUAGAUGACCCCUCCAUGAGUGUCCCCAAUGUUCUGUAGACAGACAAGUUAGCUUUGUGCCAUCACGAAGGCAUUUGGCAUGCCUACUUCGAAUUAGGCUUUCUACUGAUAAGAGCAACAUAAUUGGGAAUUGCUCGAUGCUGGUCACCUGCAGCUAGAAUAACCUUUACCUCUGGGAGAAAACGAAGCAUCUGGUGCGCGAUGCCCAAAAGGAGCAAGGGUCGCGACAAAAAAGAGAAAAAGAAAAAGAAAAGCAGCAAAGGUGGGAAAGAUUUUGUUCGGAUCAGACUACGAAUAUACGAUGUGCAAACGACUUAAUAAAAAUAACGCGACCAACCUGGCUUUUUUUGUACAGUCUACAUUUGUACAUGUUUGUUAGCUUUGACGAUUUUAGCAAUUGAUUUUCUAGUAUUGUGCUAAGGAUAUAGGAAACAUGUGCUUUCCUUGACGCGCUGCUCUCUAUGCUGGACCCGGCGAAGGCCGUAUCAGGAGUUCCUAACUUAACCGAGUAGAUCUUAUUAACUACGUUUCUGUAUUUGUAUGUACUAACGUGAUACGGGAAUUUGUUUCUACAGGAAAAUCGAAAGGCAAAAAAAAAUCGACUCGCGGCUCCAGAUCAAAUGAAUCUGUGGCGUCUAUUUUGAGCGGGAGCUCACACGAAGAGGCUAGACGUCUUAAAGGCUCUGUCCCAUGUGGUUCUGUCCUUAGCACGGCAAACCUGCAAGGCUCAAUGAUGAAGGCUAAUAUGAUAGGGUCUCGACUAAUGGGCAGCACGUUGGGCGCGUGCCGUAUGGGUGAAUUGGGCAGGCUCAAAAGUUCGCAGCUUGUUGCAAAACCGAAUCUCGAGCAGAGUAUAAAACGAGCUAAACCUGGUCCCAUGUUGCGCCCCAUGCCAGUCCAACAAUCACAGCCCCCUAUUCCAGUCGAUCAAAGUAGCGAAGAAGACUGCGGUUACCAGCAGUAAUCGAUCUCCAACAUCGGAACCGUUCGACUAGAGACAAAAUUUGCUCAUGUAGCUAUCUGACUUCGAGCUUCAACGGAAGGAAGAAUUACAACGUUGAUAUACGUUGAAGAUCUAUACGGCGUCGGUAGUUCGUUGGCGCAUAACAAAUCGCGCAACUAUUGCUAAUAAUAACAAGAAAAACGCGUCCGUUCAAGGCUUAUCAACCUUCC